rnacentral:rRNA from 1 species
GACGAACGCUGGCGGCGUGCUUAACACAUGCAAGUCGAACGAAGAGCGAUGGAAGCUUGCUUCUAUCAAUCUUAGUGGCGAACGGGUGAGUAACGCGUAAUCAACCUGCCCUUCAGAGGGGGACAACAGUUGGAAACGACUGCUAAUACCGCAUACGAUCUAACCUCGGCAUCGAGGAUAGAUGAAAGGUGGCCUCUACAUGUAAGCUAUCACUGAAGGAGGGGAUUGCGUCUGAUUAGCUAGUUGGAGGGGUAACGGCCCACCAAGGCGAUGAUCAGUAGCCGGUCUGAGAGGAUGAACGGCCACAUUGGGACUGAGACACGGCCCAGACUCCUACGGGAGGCAGCAGUGGGGAAUCUUCCGCAAUGGACGAAAGUCUGACGGAGCAACGCCGCGUGAGGGAUGACGGCCUUCGGGUUGUAAAGCUCUGUUAAUCGGGACGAAAGGCCUUCUUGCGAAUAGUUAGAAGGAUUGACGGUACCGGAAUAGAAAGCCACGGCUAACUACGUG